rnacentral:rRNA from 1 species
AUUUUGGAGAGUUUGAUUCUGGCUCAGAACAAACGCUGGCGGCGUGCCUAAUACAUGCAAGUCGAACGGGGAAAGCCGCAAGGUGAGUACUAGUGGCGCACGGGUGAGUAACGCGUGGGUGAUCUGCCUCAAAGUGGGGGAUAACCAGUCGAAAGAUUGGCUAAUACCGCAUAAGACUACGAUUCAUUUUGUAGUAAAAGAAUUUCGCUUUGAGAUGAGCCUGCGUGAGAUUAGCUAGUUGGUAAGGUAAUGGCUUACCAAGGCUUUGAUCUCUAGCUGGUCUGAGAGGAUGAUCAGCCACACUGGAACUGAGACACGGUCCAGACUCCUACGGGAGGCAGCAGUAGGGAAUAUUGCGCAAUGGGGGAAACCCUGACGCAGCGACGCCGCGUGAGCGAUGAAGGCCUUCGGGUCGUAAAGCUCUGUCGUAUGGGAAUAAUAAUGAAUGUACCAUAUAAGAAAGGAUCGGCUAACUUCGUGCCAGCAGCCGCGGUAAGACGAGGGAUCCUAGCGUUGUUCGGAAUCAUUGGGCGUAAAGCGGGUGUAGGUUGCUUUUUAAGUCAAAUGUGAAAUCCUAGGGCUCAACCCUAGAAGUGCAUCUGAUACUAUCAAGCUUGAGUGUGGAAGAGGCUAUUAGAAUUCCUGGUGUAGUGGUGAAAUACGUAGAUAUCAGGAGGAAUACCAGUUGCGAAGGCGGAUAGCUGGUCCAACACUGACACUAAGACCCGAAAGCGUGGGGAUCAAACAGGAUUAGAUACCCUGGUAGUCCACGCCGUAAACGAUGGAUACUUGUUGUUGGAGGUAUUGACCCCUUCAGUGACGAAGCUAACGCGUUAAGUAUCCCGCCUGGGAAGUACGGUCGCAAGAUUAAAACUCAAAGAAAUUGACGGGGGCCCGCACAAGCGGUGGAGCAUGUGGUUUAAUUCGAUGCAACGCGAAAAACCUUACCUGGGUUUGAAAUAGAUAAGAAAAGUAUCAGAAAUGGUCUUCUCGCAAGAGCUUGUCUACAGGUGCUGCAUGGCUGUCGUCAGCUCGUGUCGUGAGAUGUUGGGUUAAGUCCCGCAACGAGCGCAACCCUUGCCUUUAGUUGCCAGCAUUCAGUUGGGCACUCUAGAGGGACUGCCGACGUUAAGUCGGAGGAAGGUGGGGAUGACGUCAAGUCCUCAUGGCCCUUAUAUCCAGGGCUACACACGUGCUACAAUGGCAGUCACAAAGGGCAAUAGCAAAACUGCGAAGUGAAGCUAAUCCCAGAAAAGCUGUCUAAGUUCGGAUUGCAGUCUGCAACUCGACUGCAUGAAGCUGGAAUCGCUAGUAAUCGUGGAUCAGCAUGCCACGGUGAAUACGUUCCCGGGCCUUGUACACACCGCCCGUCACACCAUGAAAGUUGGUUGUACCAGAAGUCAUUGCGCUAACAUUGAAGCAAAUGCCCAAGGUAUGGUCGAUGAUUGGGGUGAAGUCGUAACAAGGUAGCCGUAGGGGAACCUGCGGCUGGAUCACCUCCUUU